rnacentral:lncRNA from 1 species
UCUCCACAUUUCCACCGCUGGAGGGGGGACUUCGGCUAUCACAGUCGAGGGAGGUUGAAAACCCCACUUCAAAACCCGUCGGAAUGUUUUGAGAAAAUGUGGAUGGUAAUGGAGAAAUGUGAACAGAGGAGAGAAAGUAGCGGUCUUGUAAAGGAUAUACGAUAUUUUCCAAGUGGGCAGAAAGCACAGGAGGGAAAUGGCACAGUGACAAGAGGUCAGGGGAGCGGGAGAUGGAGCCAAGGGUCGGCGUUU